rnacentral:tRNA from 1 species
GCCCUCGUAGCUCAAUGGACAGAGCACCUGCCUUCUAAGCAGUAGGUUGUGGGUUCGAUCCCCGCCGAGGGCG